rnacentral:rRNA from 1 species
AUGGACCCCCCGUCUCAGAACCCUUCCGCCAGUAGCAUCACCCUUUACCAGGACCCCACAGCCGCCGCCGCCGCCGCCGCGUUCGCGCCGCCCCCUCCGCCAUACCCACCACAUCGUCGCCGCGUGCCUCUCAUCAAGGUUGCACUCGACCACCUCUGCCAUGUCGCCACAAACCUUGAUAUCAUGUUUAUCGACUUCUCUCACAAACUUGCUCAACAUUGCAUACAGCUAUUGGUGGAUUGUGCUGAAGAAAAUAAUCUGACCAUUGCAAGUGCUGCUGGCAAUGGUAAUGAAACUGGAGGGUCCCAUAUGAUGCCAUCCAUUUAUGUGUAUAUUUGCUUCGCCUUUCUAAAGAGGGAGCCAAAGCUGCCAUGUCUGUAA